CAGAGUUCAGCCGUAGGCUAUCGCCGAGAGAGUGAUGGCGAUGAGUAGUUGCUGGUUGGUGAUGGCGGCCUGUCUCCUCAGCUCACAUAUAUAUUUCAGCAAAAAACAUACAACUUUGGGAGACUUGAUACUACACACAGACAAUUGGACAAAAGAUUCUUUGCCAUCACAUAGUGGAUACAGUUCCAGUAAGUUCUCAAAGGGCAGGAAAUAAGGACUGUUAAAUGAAUGAAGAACAAGAAGCAGAGAAAAGUUUUAAAGGAAUACAAAAAGAAAUAAGAGUCACAGGCAAGUGUAUCUUCCAAAGCUGUAAAUAUGUAACUCAAGCAAAGGAAUGAUCAAUGUCUUAAAACUGUGAAGAAAAUGUUCUACAGUUAGUUAUUUUUAUCCUGUUGGUGUGGAAAAUUCCUUAGGAGAAAAUGAUUACAGAAAGAGAUGCUGUGUGGCCUAAACUGUGCAUGUCCCCUACUUACACUCGUAAAUCAUCGUUGGUAAGAGAUACGAAUAUCAAAACAUCUCACAGCAUUCCAUAUUCUUCUUUGAGGACACCUCAGGAAUAUUACGAAUUCUGCACAAAAUGAAUCCACAAUGAAAGACUUAACACUUUCCUGUUCACAC